rnacentral:rRNA from 1 species
UCCGUAGGUGGAUAAUUAAGUCAGAGGUGAAAGUUUGCAGCCCAACUGUAAAAUUGCCUUUGAUACUGGUUAUCUUGAGUUAUUGUGAAGUAGUUAGAAUAUGUAGUGUAGCGGUGAAAUGCAUAGAUAUUACAUAGAAUACCAAUUGCGAAGGCAGAUUACUAACAAUAUACUGACACUGAUGGACGAAAGCGUGGGUAGCGAACAGGAUUAGAUACCCUGGUAGUCC